rnacentral:rRNA from 1 species
GGGUUGCGGACAGUGUCUGGUGGGUAGUUUGACUGGGGCGGUCUCCUCCCAAAGAGUAACGGAGGAGCACGAAGGUUAGCUAAUCCUGGUCGGACAUCAGGAGGUUAGUGCAAUGGCAUAAGCUAGCUUGACUGCGAGCGUGACGGCGCGAGCAGGUGCGAAAGCAGGUCAUAGUGAUCCGGUGGUUCUGAAUGGAAGGGCCAUCGCUCAACGGAUAAAAGGUACUCCGGGGAUAACAGGCUGAUACCGCCCAAGAGUUCAUAUCGACGGCGGUGUUUGGCACCUCGAUGUCGGCUCAUCACAUCCUGGGGCUGAAGUAGGUCCCAAGGGUAUGGCUGUUCGCCAUUUAAAGUGGUACGCGAGCUGGGUUUAGAACGUCGUGAGACAGUUCGGUCCCUAUCUGCCGUGGGCGCUGGAGAAUUGAGGGGGGCUGCUCCUAGUACGAGAGGACCGGAGUGGACGCAUCACUGGUGUUCGGGUUGUCAUGCCAAUGGCAUUGCCCGGUAGCUAAAUGCGGAAGAGAUAAGUGCUGAAAGCAUCUAAGCACGAAACUUGCCCCGAGAUGAGUUCUCCCUGACUCCUUGAGAGUCCUGAAGGAACGUUAAAGACGAUGACGUUGAUAGGUCGGGUGUGUAAGCGUAGCGAUACGUUGAGCUAACCGAUACUAAUGAACCGUGAGGCUUAACCUUACAACGCCGAAGGUGUUU